GUGUGCUCCUCCUCAAUCGUGAUCGUCUCCACCCACCUCCGCAUCUGCCUGCAACCCUAGGAACCUGCUAGACUCUCCGCCUCAACUGCCCAGCUACCAGCAACCCGCGCCCACCUCCCUCAGUGCAGACACACCUCUGCCCCAGACCAGCCAACCCUAUCCACCUCCAGAGUGCGGGAAGGCUCUGGUGAGGGAGAGACAUCUGAGAGGUUCUGUGGCCUCUGACUAGUGCACGUGGUCUGGUGCCCCUGUUUAUUCAAAUGCUAACAUUCCCCAAGAUCUGGUUACUCCAAGACAAGUGAAUUCCCAGUCCUAGCUACCUGGAAGUGAGUCUUCCAUUAGAAGCCUUCAGAUGAAGAUGUGGAACUCUGCAUCAUAUCUGCCUAUAUGCUGGCCUGCUCCUGACUUGAUGAUAACAGACUGAAACUCUGAACCUGAGAUGCUAGCCCCGAACCACACCCAGACUUAUGAAGAACUCAUGAAGGUAUGCUAAGGUCAACAGUCUCAGCCUUGCUGGCAUUUAAGCCAAGGCACAGGAUGAGGAUGAAGAUGCCUCCAGAUGGUUGUGUGACCAAUCCUCAAGUACCCUCCAUUGAGUGUUUCCAAGUUCGACUCUGGCCAUCAUAGAGAAAACUGCCACCCCUUUGAUAACAUGACCAAAUUUCUGAUCUCCCAACUCUGUACCACAGUGAAGUAAUCUUGCUUAAAUGUUAAGAAAUUUGGGUAGUUGAAGAGAGAGAUAACAAGUAUACUGAAUAAUAUACAGACGUGUGCCAAAGGAGAGUUUACGCCACAAAGCUCAGUCUUGGCAAGUCCCCAUGGUGAAAAAGCUGAAGUAAAAGUUAGCAGUUCUACUGAAUCUCAGGGUGUACUGUAUCACCUACAACUCCACAGGGCCGAGAAAGUGGUGGCCUCCUGCCUACAUCUAUAAAAUAAAACAAUCUGAUCUUCAUAGGGGAGUUAGAACAUGGACUGUCCACAGGUGUUGGUCGUUAUUAACAGUAUUGCACACCAGGUGGUACCUAUCCA